GGGUCUUGGGAUACUUAGGGUUAAACAUCCUUGGGUUUGAAUAGUACUAGGUUGGGUGACCUCUCGAGAAGUCUAAUCUCAGGAACUU
rnacentral:rRNA from 1 species